GAGGUUCUGUGAUGGUCUUAAAGCGCUUCCAUGACUAUAAAUAAAGUUUUGAUCUUCCGCGUACUUCGAUUAGCUGUGUCUGUAAAGAUCAUCUAUCUCACUGUGUCGCAUUGACGUUUUCUCUUCUAAAACUUCAUGGCCUCAUCGAUUCCUUCCAUGGAAUUCGCCUCUUCAUCAUCCAAACUCCCAUGGAUGUACGACGUGCUCAUAAACUUUACUGGAGACGACAUCCGUAACAAAUUUGUUUCCCAUCUAGAUUCUGCCCUCUCUAAUGUUGGUUUCACCACUUUCCUUCACCACCAGAAUGCAGUGAAGCCAAUGCACAUCCAACAACCUAUUCAUGAUCUCUGUCGGGUAGCAAUUGUUGUUUUCACCAAAACCUACUCUCAAUCUGCUUGGUGUCUUCAUCAGCUUCAACAAAUCAUUGAAUGGCACGAAACUUAUUGCCGACAUGUUUUGCCCGUAUAUUACGAAAUUUCGCCAUCUGAUAUACGUCUUCAGAAGGGUGAUUUUGGAAAAGCCUUCGAAGCUACCGCACACCAAACCUUUUCAAGACAACAACUGGAGCAUGGGAUGUCUAGGUGGAGCCAAGCACUCACGAAAGCAGCAAAUUUCUUUGGAUGGGAUGAGAGCAAUUACAGUUUCUUUGUUGGUAAAGACAGAGCUUAUGUUAGAGAGAUUCUAAAUGGCUGUGGAGUAGACGCUGAUAGUGGAAUAAGAGUUCUCAUAGACCGUAACCUCAUAAAACUUAAAAGAAACAACACAUUCGGAAUGCAUCCUUUGCUACAAGAAAUGGGAAGAGAAAUCGAUCACCGAAAAGGGGAAGAAAGAUAUGCAUUGGAAGAGACUGAUGUCUUUGCAUCUGAGAGGGUAAGCGUCUUAGCGAGACGCCGUAAGAAACUAUUUUUAACCAGAGCACUUUGCUUCAAACCUUAUGCUCCAGUGAUAAGACACAAUUCAAGACUUCUGAAAAUCGUCGGAAAUCCUGAGUAUCUUAGGUUGAAUUCUUCAAAAUUCCUACCUAAUGACUUUUAUCUGCAUGGUGCAAUAUCGAUUGAUUUAAGCCACACUUCUCUUCGACUCGACUGGAAAAAAUUGCAGGUUUGGGCGUCGCUAAAAGUCUUGAAUCUUAGUCUCAAAUCUUGCUCAAAAUUGCGCAAAGUACAUCGAUCUAUUGGAUGUCUCUAUGAUCUUACACUGUUAAAUUUGAAGGACUGUACACGUCUAAGCAAUCUCCCCAAAGAGACAUAUAAGUUGAAAUCUUUAAGAACUCUGAUUCUCUCUGGUUGUUCCAAGAUUGAACUAAUGGAAAAGGAUGUACUGCAAAUGGAAUCCUUGGUAUCUCUAAUUGCUGAAAAUACAGCUGUGAAACAAGUACCUCUUUCAAUUGUAAGAUCAAAAAGCAUCGGAUAUAUAUCCUUACAUCGAUUUGAGGGACUGCCACGUAAUCUUUUUCCUUCCAUCAUUCGGUCUCGGAUCUCACCAACAAUGGAUUCCCUGUCUUAUGUUCAUUCGUUCAUGGAUAAGAAGGAUUAUAUUCAGGAUGCUAUUGCAUCAUUUCUUAGAAUGCUUGUAAAUCUUCGAAGUGUGUCCGUGGAAUGUGACCCCGAGUUUGAACUAUCUAAGGAAGUGAAAACAGUUCUGGUCGAAUAUUGUCCAAAUAUUACAGAAUCAAGAAUCUCAAAGCAUCACUUAAGGUCUUCUUUCAUUAGUGUCGGAAGAUACAAUGACUUCUUAAAUACUGUAUUGGCAAUCAGUGAGUCGUGUGAUGUUUCUCUCCCUGGUGACAAUGAUCCUUAUUGGUUGGCCCAUACAGAUGGAUCCUUAAGUUCUGCAGCAAAUCUUUAAACUGCUAGGAAUUAUAGAAGACGUGCAGCAUCAGCUGUUUCAUUUGCCACGUUAGUUGACAAUAUUUGGAGUUUCUCAGAAAGAUAUUUCAACCGUGUCAGUAUGUUUUUCACACCAGCUUCCACCUCAUCGUUAAUUAAGGUAGGAGGAGGAAAGAACAUAAAAGAAGAAGAAGAAAGCAAGAAACAUAGAAGAAGUCCUGCUACUAUUCGCUCAAACCAAAGCAAUCUCGCCCAACAAGAUCUCUUGCCGCUAGUCUUGCCUAAGCGAGACAGACCUCGCUUGAGCGAGAGUUCGUGCAGAGGGAACAUUCAAGUUACACAUUUCUCGCCUAAGCGAGAAUAUUUUCGCUCAAGCGAGAUGAGCUUUCUUCAGCAUGAAGUACCUUCUCGCUUAGGCGAGAGUUAACUGGCUCAAGCGAAAAUUCGUGCAGUAUAUAUGUUACUAGAGGCAGAGAACAAAAAAAAACGAAACUGGAAAACACAUCUUGGCUGAGCUCUGGAAGGACGAACAACACAUGAUCCAUGGUUUCUGGGUUUUCUUCUUAGCUCUCAGGAUUUCCAUGGCUGCCAUGAGCAACUAAACACUUCUCUUGGGAUUGAAUGUAAUCAAAUCAAACUUGGAUGUAAUCUGGUGAUAU